rnacentral:sRNA from 1 species
AAAGUUGUUCGUCAUAAUCUAUAUUGCAGGUUAUCAUCAAAAUAUUAUUAGACGAGAUAUAUCUAGAUAUGAUGUUAUAAAUGACAGAAAAAGGAGAGAAAAAAUCUAAUUAUUUUUAGGGUAAUAUUAGAAAGUAGAAUUGAAAAGAAUGUAGUAACUAACCAUUGUUAAUUUGUAUGUGAGUAAAUAACCUUAUGACGGCAUAAGAAAAUACAAAAAUAUCCUUGCAAGUUGAACCAAAAGCAAGAGUAUGAGAAUAACAUGAUAUUUAUAAAAAAGGUGACAUUUUAUAAUAUGUUAUGAGAAUAAAUAAUGUGUUAUAUGAAAAACUAGCAUGUUGACAGAGAAAGAUUUCCAGUUAUCACGUGUAAUUCGAAAAAGUAACAUGAUACAAAAGAAAAUAAUAUACAAUUUAAAAAGAAAACAUAACGAUGAAGAUUCCAAGAAAAAAUCAAAAUCGAACAAAAUAAAUAGCACGAUAUUUAUCAAAAAAGUGACAUUUUAUAAUGUGCUAUGAGAAUAAAUAAUUUGU